CGUAGUUUUGCUUGUUGCUUUCUAUUUUCAGAAAUUACCGGUCUCCUAAAUGGAGUUGGACACAACUAACUGAAUCCUUCUACGGCAAUUUGUAUAACACCAAACAUCAUAACCAUGCACUGCAGACUUCUUAUGCCUCCCUUUGAGUUGAGUCUCCAAAAUCAUUAUACAGGACAAACAACAGGGCAGCCAUUGACCGAAAAAAGAUAAUAAGGACCGAACUUACCAUAAAGAUCAGCAAUGCCAAAAGGGAUCUAAAGAAAAACUAUGUUUCACAUGAUUUUUAGUUGUUGAAGUUUUAUCUUUUCUAUAUAGUCUUUACAAACAUGACAAUUUAUUGAUUUAUUUAUAUUUUGUAAUCCUAAUUAUUCACUUUUAGAGUUAAACAACAGAAUUACAUGAAGAUACUUUGGGUGCAUAUAUAUGGAAUUGUUAAUGUUAAUGUUGUUAAAAUUGUUUAAAUUUGAUUUAUAAAAAUAAAGUAUAAAAAAUA